AGGACUAACGCUGGCGGCGUGCCUAACACAUGCAAGUCGAACGAGAGUAGCAAUACCUAGUGGCAGACGGGUGAGUAACGCGUGGUCAACCUACCGUUGAGUGGGGGAUAACUAGCCGAAAGGUUAGCUAAUACCGCAUACGUGUCCGAGGGGCAUCCCUUGGCCAUAAAAGGAGCAAUCCGCUCGAUGACGGGACCGCGUCCCAUUAGCUAGAUGGUGGGGUAACGGCCUACCAUGGCACCGAUGGGUAGCUGGUUUGAGAGAGCGACCAGCCACACUGGGACUGAGAAACGGCCCAGACUCCUACGGGAGGCAGCAGUGAGGAAUUUUCCGCAAUGGGCGCAAGCCUGACGGAGCGACGCCGCGUGUGGGAAGAAGGCCUUCGGGUCGUAAACCACUGUCGAAGGGGACGAUAAUGACGGUACCCUUGGAGGAAGCCCCGGCUAACUACGUGCCAGCAGCCGC
rnacentral:rRNA from 1 species